GAGGAUUUAGCUCAGUGGCAUAAGCACCUGCCUUGCAAGCAGGUGGUGAGAUGGUUGUGAGUUCGAUCCCCA
rnacentral:tRNA from 1 species